AUCUGGGGUUUGUUUCGAAAGCUCUUGACAGAAACAUUGUUCCCAAGUUAUCAGAAUGGUGACGACGACAAUUUUUCUGAAUUUGUUACUGACCUUCUUAUCCUGUGUCCAGUCGGAGGUUACAUUGGUUCAACCACAGGCAGAGACUGUCCGUCCUGGAGGCGCCAUAAGACUGUCCUGUAAAACCAGCGGAUUCGAUCUUGGCAGCUCUGGCAUGAGUUGGAUCCGACAGGUGCCUGGCAAGGGGCUGGAGUGGAUCGUUUACUACUAUAGUUCAUCGUACAGUAAUUAUGCGCCAGCGAUUAGAGACCGAUUUACUGCGUCCAAAGAUAUUUCAAAAAACAUCUUCGCGUUGGAAAUGAUGAGCCUGAGGAUCGAAGACACUGCCAUCUAUUACUGUGCAAGAGACCACAAAGCGAGAAACAGCGGCUACUGGGGACAAGGAACCAUGGUGACCGUGAAUUUAGUGACUCCAUCUUCCCCGACGCUUUAUGGUCUAGUCUCCUGUCGUGAACACAGCACUGAUAACUCUGUGAUUUUUGGUUGUUUGGCGAUGGACUAUUCCCCCGACGUCACUACUGUGACCUGGAAGAAAGAUGGGACGCAGAUCACGACUGGAUUUAAGACAUACCCAUCGGUGAGAAACAAGAAGGGAACUUAUACCCUGAGCAGCCAGUUAGCACUGACUGGUGCAGACGCGCAUUGUGGAAAAGUCUACUGUGAGGUUCGACACAGUGGGUCCGACAAGAGCACUGAAAUACAAUGUCCAAACGGUGGUGUCCCUCCGAGUGUUCUCCUUACUGUGAGUUCCAGUGAAGAAAUCGAGAGCAGGAAAGUUGCAACCUUAGUCUGCUCAAUCUUUCACUUCAAUAAAAAGGAUAUCUCCGUGGUUUGGUUGAAGAAUGGAAGAGUGGUAAAUUCUGGUGUCUUUACUUCUCCUGCGUGUGAAGCGAACGGAAACUUCUCAACGACCAGUCAGCUGAGAGUGUCUUCUCGUGAAUGGUUCGACAGAGCAGUCUACACAUGCCAGGUCGAACAUGAAGGGCACAGUCAAAGUCACAACAUCACCGGACCUCAGGUUUCAGAGUGCCAUGAUUACACAGCUAAAAUACUACCGCCACCAGUUGAACAGGUCUUACUGGAGGCCACGGUGACAUUAACCUGCGUUGUGUCCAAUCUUCAUUUUGAAGCCAACUUCACCUGGAUACACGACAAGAAGACUCUGAAAUCAGAACUUGUUGACCAGUCCGGAGAGCAUUCCGAAGGUGUGAUCAGCAAUUUAGAUAUUUCUACUGAAGCCUGGCUGAGUGGGGAUACAUUUGAAUGCGUAGUGAACAAUCAGUAUCUACCGACUCCACUGAGAGACUCCAUCCACAAGGAGAAAUUAAUAAAUCCUCUGGAGCCAUCGGUGUCGAUCCUCCUGCCAACGACAGAAGAAGUCUCCGCACAGAGAUUUCUUUCCCUCACCUGUUUAGUGAGAGGCUUCAGGCCGCGAGAGAUCUUUGUCAAGUGGACAACAAAUGACAAGCCAAUUAAUCCCAGUAACUACAAGAACACCGCGGUGACGGCAGAGAGCGACAACACUUCAUUCUUUUUGUACAGCCUAUUAACAAUUGCAGCGGAGGAGUGGGCCAGCGGUGCUUCUUACUCCUGUGUGGUGGGACAUGAAGCGAUUCCAUUGAAGAUCAUCAACAGAACGGUUGAUAAAACCAGCGACUCAAGAGAUCAUAAUUGGAUUGAAGACUCUGAGGAUGAUAACGGCAACAUGUGGACAACUGCUUCUACAUUCAUUACCUUGUUCUUCCUGAGCAUUUUCUACAGUGCUGCUGUCACACUGGUCAAGGUCACGUGAAUGAAUUUUGCACCCUGUAGAAUUUCCUCAUCUGUUCAUCCAGGCCACUGAACUGCAAAUGUACCAUCAGUCAUGUUGUUGAAAGUAGCAGUGACAUAAAUUCAGUUUAUGAGUCUGUAAAUGAGAAAAUCAUUGUUGGGUUUUCAAUUUCCCUUGCUUGAUAACG